GAAAUGCGAUAAGUAAUGUGAAUUGCAGAAUUCCGUGAAUCAUCGAAUCUUUGAACGCACAUUGCGCCCUCUGGUAUUCCAUGGGGCAUGCCUGUUCGAGCGUCAUUUGUACCCUCAAGCUCUGCUUGGUGUUGGGUGUUUGUCCCGUCUCCGCGCGUGGACUCGCCCCAAAGUGAUUGGCAGCCGGCGUACUGGUCCCGGAGCGCAGCACAUGUCGCGCAAACGAGUGCCUUGGUACGGCGGCGUCCAUAAGCCCCUCUCUCACGCUCUUGACCUCGGAUCAGGUAGGGAUACCCGCUGAACUUAAGC
rnacentral:misc_RNA from 1 species